GACGAACGCUGGCGGCGUGCUUAACACAUGCAAGUCGAACGGAAAGGCCCUGCUUUUGUGGGGUGCUCGAGUGGCGAACGGGUGAGUAACACGUGAGUAACCUGCCCUUGACUUUGGGAUAACUUCAGGAAACUGGGGCUAAUACCGGAUAGGAGCUCCUGCUGCAUGGUGGGGGUUGGAAAGUUUCGGCGGUUGGGGAUGGACUCGCGGCUUAUCAGCUUGUUGGUGGGGUAGUGGCUUACCAAGGCUUUGACGGGUAGCCGGCCUGAGAGGGUGACCGGCCACAUUGGGACUGAGAUACGGCCCAGACUCCUACGGGAGGCAGCAGUGGGGAAUAUUGCACAAUGGGCGGAAGCCUGAUGCAGCAACGCCGCGUGCGGGAUGACGGCCUUCGGGUUGUAAACCGCUUUCGCCUGUGACGAAGCGUGAGUGACGGUAAUGGGUAAAGAAGCACCGGCUAACUACGUGCCAGCAGCCGCGGUGAUACGUAGGGUGCGAGCGUUGUCCGGAUUUAUUGGGCGUAAAGGGCUCGUAGGUGGUUGAUCGCGUCGGAAGUGUAAUCUUGGGGCUUAACCCUGAGCGUGCUUUCGAUACGGGUUGACUUGAGGAAGGUAGGGGAGAAUGGAAUUCCUGGUGGAGCGGUGGAAUGCGCAGAUAUCAGGAGGAACACCAGUGGCGAAGGCGGUUCUCUGGGCCUUUCCUGACGCUGAGGAGCGAAAGCGUGGGGAGCGAACAGGCUUAGAUACCCUGGUAGUCCACGCUGUAAACGGUGGGUACUAGGUGUGGGGUCCAUUCCACGGGUUCCGUGCCGUAGCUAACGCUUUAAGUACCCCGCCUGGGGAGUACGGCCGCAAGGCUAAAACUCAAAGGAAUUGACGAGGCCCCGCACAAGCGGCGGAGCAUGCGGAUUAAUUCGAUGCAACGCGUAGAACCUUACCUGGGUUUGACAUGGGUCGGGAGUGCUCAGAGAUGGGUGUGCCUCUUUUGGGGUCGGUUCACAGGUGGUGCAUGCCUGUCGUCAGCUCGUGUCGUGAGAUGUUGGGUUAAGUCCCGCAACGAGCGCAACCCUUGUUCACUGUUGCCAGCACGUUAUGGUGGGGACUCAGUGGAGACCGCCGGGGUCAACUCGGAGGAAGGUGGGGAUGACGUCAAGUCCUCAUGCCCCUUAUGUCCAGGGCUACACGCAUGCUACAAUGGCUGGUACAGAGAGUGGCGAGCCUGUGAGGGUGAGCGAAUCUCGGAAAGCCGGUCUCAGUUCGGAUUGGGGUCUGCAACUCGACCUCAUGAAGCCGGAGUCGCUAGUAAUCGCAGAUCAGCAACGCUGCGGUGAGUACGUUCCCGGG
rnacentral:rRNA from 1 species